UACGAAGGGGGCUAGCGUUGCUCGGAAUUACUGGGCGUAAAGCGUGCGCAGGCGGUGAUGUAAGACAGGGGUGAAAUCCCCGGGCUUAACCUGGGAACUGCAUUUGUGACUGCAUCGCUGGAGUGCGGCAGAGGGGGAUGGAAUUCCGCGUGUAGCAGUGAAAUGCGUAGAUAUGCGGAGGAACACCGAUGGCGAAGGCAAUCCCCUGGGCCUGCACUGACGCUCAUGCACGAAAGCGUGGGGAGCAAACAGG
rnacentral:rRNA from 1 species